rnacentral:lncRNA from 13 species
GAAUGCACUUGUAAUUCUGAAGGAAGUGGUUAAAAAAACAGAAUGUUAUUAUUUUCUAGGGAUGUCAUAAAGAAUGGAAAUGAAUGGAAGUGACUUGGGGCAAGCUUUUCCACUUCCAUUCCUAAACUGUUGACAAAGGCAAAAGACUUCAGAAGAGGUCUUUUCUUGAGGAGAGGUCACCUAUUACAUACUUACUAAUCAACAGUGAGAUGGACAUGACCCAAGUGAGCAAAAACGGAUGUGUGCAUUUCACAAGCCUUCAGCAACUAUAUAUUGAUUACCUUAGCACAGGGGCUGUCUCCAGCUGGCUCACCAUGAUACCACCAGGGCUUACUUACUGAUGAAUACUGAGGCCAUUGCUCUGUUGCUGUCAGCACCAGCCUACUUCUUCAGUCAGUUCCCCUGAAAGCGUCUGCAGGCCAGUGCCCAUCCACCCAUUCCUCAAAGCACCAGAAACCUGCUUUGUUAAGGUAAAAGUCACUCUUUCCCAUGCAGGUGGGCUGGGGGUCCAUCUCUUUUUCUUACAUUAGGUGAUCCUGUGGCUCUACCAGGUGCUCCUGCAUCAGCCCCAUGCUGUGCACGUUUGUCCUUCAUCUUCCCAUGUACUGCUCGGCCUGCCUAACAGAAGCUUUUUGGGAUCCCAGAUCCCACGUAAGUUCACUAUGAGGCUGAUCCUAGAUCCUAAUUUUUGUACUGUAGUAGUCUUUGAAAGUAAGACCUCUGUCAAAUUUAUUUCAGUUUUCUGGUUCCUAGCAUAAUGUAUGGCUAGGUGCAUUUAUUUGUAGAGAAAAAAGGAAGAAAGGUAGAAAGAAAAAAAGGAAGGGAAAGAGGAAGAAAUGAAGAGAGCAAGGAAGAAAGAAAAGGAGGAAUGGAAGCAAGGAUAGAAGGAAGGGAGGGAGAAAGGGAGGAAGAAAGGCAAGGAAAAAAGGAAGGGUGGAAGGAAGGGAGAAAGGAGGGAGGAAAAAAGGAAGGGUGGAAGGAAGGGAGG